GCUUCCUCCGCCUGGGUCAUCCUGCGCCAAGACUCUCUUCUCCUUGGAUCAAAGCACGAGAAGCCACGAUGACGCUUGCUUGGGCUUCGGACUCAAGCCGUAGGUGAAAUCAGAGCUUUGAGGCUGACCUGGGGAGGUGCUCCAAGCCAAGAAAAGAAGGACAAGAAAGAAGACACCCCUCCCGCACCCGUACCCGCCUGCUAGCCCAGAGGG